ACGUUAACGAACGAGACCUCGACCUGCUAAAUAGUUCGAUAAAUCCUUCGGGAUUUAUAUUGUGACUUCUUAGAGGGACUAUCGGUGUGUAGCCGAUGGAAGUUCGAGGCAAUAACAGGUCUGUGAUGCCCUUAGAUGUUCUGGGCCGCACGCGCGCUACACUGAUCAAGUCAACGAGUUUACAACCUUGGCCGGAAGGUCUGGGUAAUCUUUUGAAACUUGAUCGUGCUGGGGAUAGUCCAUUGCAAUUAUUGGACUUCAACGAGGAAUUCCUAGUAAGCGUGAGUCAUCAGCUCGCGUUGAUUACGUCCCUGCCCUUUGUACACACCGCCCGUCGCUAAUACCGAUUGAAUGGAUAG
rnacentral:rRNA from 1 species